UCUCCUGCUGGUGUGAAAAGGUGGCAGGCUGCCUCUGCAGCUUUGCCCGGAAGCUGGUGCCCUGGACUACUGCUUCUCACACUCCUGAGGAGCUCCCUUUGGCUGUGAUCACCCACUGGCCUCCUCUGUGUGAACAGCACGGGGCCUGCCGGGCUGUAAGGGCCCAGCAGCAGGGACACUUGCACCUCAUCCUGGACCUGCUGCCCUGCUCUUCCUUCUCUGGGUCUCAUGCAAAACUGGCAUCUUUCAUGUCGCAGCCUGUAUCCUGACAGAGAGCC